rnacentral:pre_miRNA from 1 species
UUUCCAGUAUAAGUCUGUACCAUGUAAUGUUUGGUAUAUAUUUAUACUAAAA